rnacentral:rRNA from 1 species
CUGCUGCCUCCCGUAGGAGUCUGGUCCGUGUCUCAGUACCAGUGUGGGGGACCUUCCUCUCAGAACCCCUACGCAUCGUCGCCUUGGUGGGCCGUUACCCCGCCAACUAGCUAAUGCGCCGCAUGCCCAUCCUCCGCCGGAAUCGCUUCCUUUAACACCCGUGGGAUGCCCCACAGAUGUACCACGCGGUAUUAGUCCGGAUUUCUCCGGGUUAUCCCCCGUGCGGAGGGCAGGUUGCAUACGUGUUACUCACCCGUGCGCCGGUCGCCGG